rnacentral:rRNA from 1 species
UACGUAGGGUGCGAGCGUUAAUCGGAAUUACUGGGCGUAAAGCGUGCGCAGGCGGUUUUGUAAGCCAGAUGUGAAAUCCCCGGGCUUAACCGAGGAACUGCCUUCCAGACUGUUAGGCUUGAGACCGGGAGAGGUGAGUGGAAUUCCCAGUGUAGCGGUGAAAUGCGUAGAUAUUGGGAGGAACACCAGUGGCGAAGGCGGCUCACUGGACCGGUACUGACGCUGAGGCGCGAAAGCGUGGGGAGCAAACGGG